rnacentral:lncRNA from 1 species
CACCAAGUUAUAAACCCUUGUUCAUUCACCAACAUGGUACGGACUUAUGUAGAGGCUUGAUUGCUAUCAAGAUGCAUAGUAAUUGCCUGACUCAUAAUUAAAGGAGAAAGAAUGAGAAACAUAUGUACCAAUAUUGGGCAUAUAUUUUGCAUAUGGCCAUGAAAGGUUCAAGGGAGGCAAAAAAUGGAAAGUGAAAAUAUCAUAAUGGAUGUUGAAAGUAGAAUAAAUUUCGUACACAUGG